UGGGGGAUUCCCACAACUCUAAUUAGUGUAUCCUUGCCUCCUUGAUCAUGAAGAUCCCUUCAUCCACUGACCUGGAAAUUAAUUGAAGUUCACAGUUUGGAUCAUGUGAACAUGUGAAAUUUUAAGAACUUGUGGAAAGAGGGAGGAGGCUUCCAGGAUGAGGGUGCACAAGUGCAUUCUGAGUCUUGAGAAUUGGCUAAUAGCAGCCAUUGUUUCAGUAACUCAGUCAUCAUUGGAAAUACACAUAAAUAUUAGCAAAAUGAUGCAAAAUUUCAAAAUAUUCCAAAACCAAAUGUUUGAAGAUAUGACAAAACCCCUAGGACUAGUUUGCAAAAGUAUGUUUCUCAUUUUAUGCGAAUUAUCUAAAAAAAAAUGGGCAGACCAAAAUGAAAGAAUCAUUAAAAAACCAUAAAAAAGAAGUUUCCAAGGACUUUGUACUUGGGCCUCUAAUAAUACCUAGUAUUCAGCAAUCAAAACCUUGGUUCAAAUGGAAUUAUAAUGCUUAAAUGUCUAUAAAACAUGCCUGUAUGCCAAACAUCAACAAUUCAGCAUGUGCUGUACACAUACAGUAAUGUUUUGAUUGAUGUUAAUUCAGGGUAUAAUUACUUCUUAUUGUGCAUGUGCAGAUGUGCAACCAGGCAACAAUUCAUCAAAAGUGAUGUUGCUUUUUAAAUGCUUUAUUGAGCAAGGACUGCUAGUUUGGCAUCGAUUCUGCUGUAAGCGAGGGAAGCAACCCAAAUAGCAGAGAAUUGUAGGUUAGUCUGGCUAAGUUUAGCCACAUCAGGUAUGACAAAACGUUGGACGCAGUGUUUUGUGGGCCAAAGGUGGCCUAACAGCACACAACUACAUUUAGUCUUUUUUUUUUUUUGUGUGUGUGUGUGUUUGUAAAGAGGCCCAGCUGUAAGCUUUUAGUCUCAUCAAGGUGGAGCUCAGAUUUGAAUACCACAGGGGGGAGUAUGUGGGGCAGGUGAAGUCAUGUGUGGACAUAUUACACAUUGUCUAUUAGGGAAAGAGGCACAAUUAAAGAAAUAAGAAGCAUCGCUUGUAACCAAGGGCAUGUUUGACAGAGGAACGGCGAGAGUGAGAAAAAGAGUGGGAGUAAAUGAAUAAAGGUGUCUGAAGCAUCUGCUGUAUGAAGAAUUUUGGCGUUUCAGAGGGAAAAGCAUCAGACUGCAUCGCAGUUGAUCAUCUUCAGUUAAUCAUCUACACAUCAUUCAUCAGAAUUCAUCAGAAUCAUUUUAAUACACAGAACCCAGAUAUUACUACAUUUUGGUUCUUGGAAAUGUGCAUUCAUACACCUAUUCAUUUGCUCGAGCUUGUAAAAUUGACUGUCUGUAUAUUCAUUAAGCUCAUUUGUUGUUUUAUCAGAGAGAUCAGUGACAAAUGUGUUUGGGUACAAGUGACAUGUGUUCAAUGUUUCAUGUAUGUGUCUCUGCAUCUCUCUUUUAUUAUGUGAAGAUAAAUUAUUUAUGAUUGCAUGUGGGUUUGCAAUGCUGUAUGGAGGGACAAAUAUGAAAUGUGGGAUAUAUGAAAUGUGUCCUCCUCCUCAUAUUGUGUGUGUGUGUGCGAGACAAAGAAUGACAGAUGAUUCUUCUUUAUAUAUCUCAUUUUGUACACUUCUUAUUCUGACAGAUAACUUUUAAGAGCUGUUCAAAAACUACACUUUAAAUCAUUACAAUUAUCUCAAGGGUUUCAAGGAAGCGUAAAUAUGCUACACACACACACACACACACACACACACACACUCUUUCAUGCACCUGCUUAAGUGCAGAAUUCUCUAUUUAUAGAACUGUCCCUCCCACCAAUAAGUACUAUUUAUUUAAGCUUUUUUUCUUCUUUUCUGUUCCCCUUUUUUGUA